GACAGACAUCAGAUGAUCAGCGUGUUGCAGUCCAACGGGUCAGGACUCGUUCUUAAUAAUCACUGAGAACAUCCAGGAAACAUCCAGACAGCCAACUGAUCACAGAGGACAUGUACACCUGUUCAACUCAGCAUGUGACCAAGACCGUCCAUAUAUGGACUUAACCUGACUCAGCACAGUGGGAGCUGCUGACUCAGGGACUGUUGUGGGCGUGUCUGGACUGCACUGAGCUGAGUCAACAGGAAGAGGAAGGAGCAGACGGACCACCCCCACCCUGGAACAUUUAAUGCUCUGACGCAGAAACCUGCUGGUGACAUCACAGUGACGCCGUCCACCAUUACUACAGUCAGCGUGUCUUCAUGAUGAGCUCAGACUCUCACUCGUUACCUGUGAGUGUACGAAACAACCGAGCGAUGUCGUGUUGAUGCAGCGGUCUGAAACAGUUCAGGACGUUUGA